AAAUAAAUUUUAGUAUUUCCAAUUUAAAGUUUAAAAAAUAAAAUGACAAAUUGUUAUUAUAAGUCAUUAAAAAUAUUCUUCCACAUCUGACAAACAACAGCUCAUCCUAUUUAAUUAACUCUUCUGUCUACACUCUCUUCUCACACAUGCCAUAUUGCAGGUAACUCUGUCUCCUUCUUAUACCAAACACAAUAUAAAGAUAUUUCAAACGAUGUGGGAGUUCCACAACGCAGACUCUCCACAAAAUGCUGUCUGUUAUUCCUUUGGAUUUCUCUGUAUCUUCAACUCUCACCAAAUUCACACAUUUCAAUAUUAGUUUUAAGAAGCCAAACUCUUUCCCUUCCAAGGCUUCACCUUCAUCCAAUGAUUCCUCUCUCCUUUCUCUCUCCAACUCAGGUGCUUUUCUGCAUUGUUACCUCCUCUGCGGGCUGCCUUCAUAGCUAAGCUUAGUGGUUGUGCUUUACUUCUUGUUCUUUUCAAAAAUAUUGGGAAAUUCUCUCCGUUCACUGUAUCUUAUUUAAACCAUUUUGCGAGUUAACUAUAGUCAAUGUUAAUAAUUGAAGUAUGAGCCGAAGUUUUCACGUUUAUUAGUGGUAUCUAUCCUGGUAAAAAAAUUCAACAAUGUGGAGCAUCAUACAUAAUUUUAGUUACAUUAAACCAUGCAGUUCAUUUUCAGUUCAUAGGUUUUGAUAUUACCUGAUGCAGAGCAUUCUGCAGAUGCAUGCUUUCCAUUUACUAAACUCAGAUGAAACUUAACUAGGAGAGAAAAAUCUGGUGUUUGAAUUCAGGAAUUUGCAGGGCUAGUGAAGUUGCUGAUUUGUUCUCGGCAGUGUCACCAGAAGUUGUUGUCCGCGAGGCAAGGUUAGAAGACUACUGGAAAGUAGCAGAGAUUCACUGCAAACGCUUCUUCCCUGAAUAUUCCUUCCCUUUAGAUUUUGUGCUCAGAAUAGACAGAUUGGUAAUAGAUAUGUUAUCAGCUAUGUUAGCAGCUACAUUAGCAGGAUUCUUUAAGCCAAGAUACUGCAAGAAAAUGUGUUUGGUGGCUGUUAUUCGCACCUCAUUUGAUGAGUCUUUUUCAUUUGACAAGAUUGGUUAUUUUGAUGGUAAAUUCAGUGUCAACAAGGGCUAUGUGGUUGGUAUAUUAACACUAGACAAUAUUGCAGACUUUCUACCAAGAAAGGGUCCACAGCGACAUAGAAGGUAAUUGCAACACCUACUUUUGAACUUGGACAAGUAAGGGGUAUCACAGUUUUGAGGGAAAAUGCAAUAACCCCAAGUGGCCAAACAACACAUAGCUUUACUUCCAUACAAGUAUGUGACAGUAUUGAAUGGUUAAAUGAUGAUUAUACAAGAGGGAAUUGCAUGUACUUUUGUAUGUGUUCCUUCAUGGUUCAUCUUUGUGAGCAAAAUGAUUUCUAAAUAAAUUGCUCAUUUUGUCUGUACUUGACUGAUAAAAUUACUACCUUAACACACAAAAAUCCAAUUUGGAAGUCAAUAUUGAAGCUUUGCUUUGUAGCUUCACCAUGAAACAAUAUUUGAAGAAUUCAAGUACAUAUCAGAAAUCCUACAUUGAAUAGAGCAACAAGUUGAAAGUUGUGGUUUAGUCAUGACUCAAAACUCUUCAUAAUAGAUACAUUGAAAAUUGUCCAUUUUGAGUUAAAUUUUGAGUAUUUUCUGAGAGGAGACAUUGACAAAUUUAAUACCAAUGAAUGGUGAAGAAGCUUAUAAUAAGACACCAAAACACUGUUUUUAAUCCAAAACCUUAACAGAAUAGAUUUAAGAGACCAGAACAUCAUUUUUAAUCCAAAAUCUUACCACAAUAGAUUUAUAGACUCUUUUACUUAUAUACUGUGAUGGAGGUUCUUUGAUGAUGCUUCUUCAACAAGAGAUGCUCUCCAAGGUGUGUUGAUGAAGCUUUUCAAAUGAUGGACUCCAUGUGAGAUGAUGAAUGUUGGGGAAGCUUUUCAAGAUAUAAAGAUGUGGUUGAUGGUAUUUGAUGGUCUAGGUAGAAGUCCUUCUAGGAGGUGAGGCCAAUCUUGAAAGAGAAAGUAAGAAGAAGUCUAGAGAAAGACAUUUCUUAGAGUUAGAACUAAGGAGAAGGAGACUUGCAAUUUUGGCAAAGAGCAUUCAAAAUAGUUCUAAAAAUUAUACAAGGUUGCCUCUCC
rnacentral:lncRNA from 1 species